CUCAGGAGGCCUGUAACCCUGCCUACGUUCCUGCUAGGCCCACCGGCCUCACUGAGCCCCGUGACUGGAGGGUCUCCAGGCUGUGGUCUUCAACUUGCUUUGUGUGCGCAGAUAGGAAGACUUGUCCCCUCGGAGCAUCUGGUUCUUCCUCUGCAGAAGAACCAGGGGUUAUAUCAUCUUCCUGGGGAGCAGUCAGAAGGAUUCAAGGGACUGGCAGGUCAGCCUGGAGCCAGGUGGACUCCUGCAUGUGUGGCCGUGAGGACUGUUCCUCCCAGCGCCUGGCCUCUGACACGCAGGCUCAGGAGUGCCCGAGAGGCAGAGCGAUGGGCGAAGUCCGGAGAUGGGCCUGGCUGUCCACGGGGUGGGUGGGAGAGGCCCAGGCUGGGCAGGCAUUGUCUACCUGACUCUGCAGGUGUGUCUUACAGUCCUCAGCUCACAGGGGAGGGAGCCGGCUCCACGGGGAUGGCGGGCCUCCCCAGCAGAUGGGGAAACCGAGGCUCAGAGUGGCGUUGUGACCGCCAGAGGCCCCACAGCCGUGCUGCUUCUGCCUCCGCCAAGGCUCUCACUGACGUUCCCAGGAGGAGGACACAGUCAGCCCACAUCUUCCUUUUAAGCGGCUUGAAUUUUUUAUGUUAAUUACAGAGAGAAUUCACAUUUAUUAUUGAAAAAUCAGAAAACUCAAGCAAUAAAGUGAGGACAAAAGCCAGAAUCUGUAUUCUUCAAGCAAUCAUUAACAUACGGGUGUGUAUCCUUCGGGAGGACUCUUUUUUUUCUUCCCCAAACAAAGGACAAGAAAACAAAUUGCACAGGACACAUUUCUUUACUGUCCUCUAAGGACAGUUCCAUCUGUCCGGGGUGCCCACCUCGCUUGGUGAGCGCAGUCGUUGGGGUUCUCAGACACAGCAGGCUGGCCCAGCCUUCCGUCCCCGAGCAGCCCUGGCUCAUUUUCUCAGUCCCCUAUUGCUGGACUUGUAGGUUGGUGCGAUAUUUUUGUGGUUAGAGCAUUACUCCGAAGAGCGGGCAGUGAAGGGUUUGUACUCGUUGGGGACUCCCUGUGUGGGGUGAAUGAGUAGGGGUGCACACCCCCGCGUUGCAGACACAGGUUUGCGCAGGCAGUGUCUGGGGCGUGGAGGGCGCUCCGCUCCUGGGAAGCUGCUUUGUGGUCAGAGGAUGAGACAGGGAGGGGCUCUCAUGAGAAAUUUGCAGGGAGAGGGGUUCAUCCUGGCACCCUGGGUGAUACUGGCAGCCUUUCUGCUCCUGUGGGGGCGGUGGGUGGAGGCCGAGGCCAAGGAGGAGGUGUGCCUCUGCCCCGGGGCUGCGGGGUGACUGCGGAGCCUGGAACCCUGCGGCCUCCUGCACCAGGGCCUGGGGUUCAGUUUGGGAGCUCAUCCUGUGUGGUCUGGGGGGUUGGGUCAGGAGUGGGAUUGAGUCUGGCUUUGUCCUUAGGUUCUGGUCCUGAGGCCCCAGGUGAGUGGCCUUCCCUCCCAGCACGGCCCAUUUCCCAUCUGUGGGAAGAGGCUUACCAGCCCUGCUUCAUUGCCGACACUCUGAACAGGACAAGGUGCCAGACUUCCUCCAGGGCCCAUGUCUCAGCUUCCCUAGGGAAGGAUUACCCGGAUACCAGGGAAGACAGAAGAGCGUGACCGCCCCCACAUACCCAUCCCUUAGCUGCCACCUUCCCACUCUUGGCCAGUCCUCCCUCUUUCCUCCCCUCCAGACCUAUUGCUUCAUCUGGACAAGUUGUAGCAGAUGGGCCUGGCUGUCCACGGGGUGGUGUAUCUUUAUUACUG
rnacentral:lncRNA from 1 species